AAGUAGGGGAUCGUAAGACCUUGCGCUUUUGGAGCGGCCGAUGUCUGAUUAGCUAGUUGGUGGGGUAAAGGCCUACCAAGGCGACGAUCAGUAGUUGGUCUGAGAGGACGACCAGCCACACUGGGACUGAGACACGGCCCAGACUCCUACGGGAGGCAGCAGUGGGGAAUUUUGGACAAUGGGCGCAAGCCUGAUCCAGCAAUGCCGCGUGAGUGAAGAAGGCCUUCGGGUUGUAAAGCUCUUUCAGUCGGGAAGAAAAGGUUGCGACUAAUAAUCGCAAUUCAUGACGGUACCGACAGAAGAAGCACCGGCUAACUACGUGCCAGCAGCCGCGGUAAUACGUAGGGUGCAAGCGUUAAUCGGAAUUACUGGGCGUAAAGGGUGCGCAGGCGGCUUUAUAAGUCAGAUGUGAAAUCCCCGGGCUUAACCUGGGAAUUGCGUUUGAAACUACAAAGCUUAGA
rnacentral:rRNA from 1 species